AAAAAUGGUACAACUUUAGUCUUUGAUCGAGAUGAGGAAUGGGAUCCUAAUGACUAGUGAUAUUGUUUCCUUGUUUAUCAUUGAAGGCGGCAUUCAGUUUCCAGCAAUUUCCUCUGGGCUGAAAUUUUUGGGGGAAAAAAGAAGGUAACCUGCUAAGGUCAAUUUUUUUUUCUCCACAUUUCUAGCUUAGUGCUUGAGACUGAAAUUUUGGGGGGGGAAAAUGAAGGUAACCUGCUAAGGUCAAUUUUUUUUCCACAUUUCUAGCUUAGUGCUUGAGAGAAAUAAAUCUUCAAAUUUAUUCUUUUUGAGUAGAUUCAAGAAAUCUUCCAAUUACAGAAAAGAAAUACUUGUAUACUUUCAUACGUCAGACAUUUCGAACA
rnacentral:lncRNA from 1 species